rnacentral:rRNA from 1 species
ACAUGCAAGUCGAGCGAACGGACGAGAAGCUUGCUUCUCUGAUGUUAGCGGCGGACGGGUGAGUAACACGUGGAUAACCUACCUAUAAGACUGGGAUAACUUCGGGAAACCGGAGCUAAUACCGGAUAAUAUUUUGAACCGCAUGGUUCAAAAGUGAAAGACGGUCUUGCUGUCACUUAUAGAUGGAUCCGCGCUGCAUUAGCUAGUUGGUAAGGUAACGGCUUACCAAGGCAACGAUGCAUAGCCGACCUGAGAGGGUGAUCGGCCACACUGGAACUGAGACACGGUCCAGACUCCUACGGGAGGCAGCAGUAGGGAAUCUUCCGCAAUGGGCGAAAGCCUGACGGAGCAACGCCGCGUGAGUGAUGAAGGUCUUCGGAUCGUAAAACUCUGUUAUUAGGGAAGAACAUAUGUGUAAGUAACUGUGCACAUCUUGACGGUACCUAAUCAGAAAGCCACGGCUAACUACGUGCCAGCAGCCGCGGUAAUACGUAGGUGGCAAGCGUUAUCCGGAAUUAUUGGGCGUAAAGCGCGCGUAGGCGGUUUUUUAAGUCUGAUGUGAAAGCCCACGGCUCAACCGUGGAGGGUCAUUGGAAACUGGAAAACUUGAGUGCAGAAGAGGAAAGUGGAAUUCCAUGUGUAGCGGUGAAAUGCGCAGAGAUAUGGAGGAACACCAGUGGCGAAGGCGACUUUCUGGUCUGUAACUGACGCUGAUGUGCGAAAGCGUGGGGAUCAAACAGGAUUAGAUACCCUGGUAGUCCACGCCGUAAACGAUGAGUGCUAAGUGUUAGGGGGUUUCCGCCCCUUAGUGCUGCAGCUAACGCAUUAAGCACUCCGCCUGGGGAGUACGACCGCAAGGUUGAAACUCAAAGGAAUUGACGGGGACCCGCACAAGCGGUGGAGCAUGUGGUUUAAUUCGAAGCAACGCGAAGAACCUUACCAAAUCUUGACAUCCUUUGACAACUCUAGAGAUAGAGCCUUCCCCUUCGGGGGACAAAGUGACAGGUGGUGCAUGGUUGUCGUCAGCUCGUGUCGUGAGAUGUUGGGUUAAGUCCCGCAACGAGCGCAACCCUUAAGCUUAGUUGCCAUCAUUAAGUUGGGCACUCUAAGUUGACUGCCGGUGACAAACCGGAGGAAGGUGGGGAUGACGUCAAAUCAUC